CUUGUUUGUAAAAAAGGUUUUAAUGUAUAAAGAAAAAUAAUUUUUCGGUUUUAAAAAUUUUAGUAGUUUUUAGUGAAAGCAAUUGUAUAACUAUAGAGAAAAGUACUGUGAAGGAAAGUUAAGAAACUCUGGAUAGAAGGAAUAAAAAUUUGUGCCUUGUGUAUCAGGAAAAAUUUAUAUAAUAAAAUUAUUUUAAAAUAUCUCGAAAUAAAAUAUAGUUAACUUUGUAAAAAAUUCUCUUUUUCAAAAAAGUUUUUAAUGUAAAGUUUAAAGUGAAAUGCUAGUUGAGUUUUAUAAUAUCUAGUUUUUUUAAAAUAAAUUUAAUUUAAUUUUUACAUAAAUGAAUGUAAAAUUUAAGGGUAAAAGGGAUUAGCUUUUUAUUAAAAGAGAAUAAAAUAGUUAUAUUAAAAUUGUGUUGUAAAUUAAGCUUAGAAGUAGCUAUAUUAAAAGAGUGUUUUAACUGAGUCUCAAAUAAAAAAUAUUUAUUAUAACUUUUUAUGAAUAUAGAAAAAUUGAUUUUAAUAAGAAAAAUUAAGAUAUAAUGAUUUUAUUAGUAAAAAUACUUUUUAAAAGCGAAUAAUUGGAAUAAUUAAAGUAGUUUAAUAACGUUAAAAUAGUAGUAUAAAGUAAUUCGGCAAAUAAUUUUUCUGCCUGUUUAUCAAAAACAUGUCUUUUUGAAUGUAUAAAAAGUCCGACCUGCCCACUGAAAUUUUUUAAAGGCCGCGGUAUUUUGACCGUGCAAAGGUAGCGUAAUCGUUAGUUUUUUAAUUGGAAUCCUGUAUGAAUGGUUAGACAAGAAAAAGGCUGUCUCUAUAUUAUAAAUUGAAUUUAACUUUUAAGUGAAAAGGCUUAAAUAAAUUAAAGGGACGAUAAGACCCUAUAAAGCUUAAUAUUGGAUACUUAUUUAAUUAAAUUUUUUUGUAAUAAAAAUUCUGUAAUUUAACUUUAUUUUGUUGGGGUGACAAAAGUAAAAUGUUUAGUAACUGCUUGUUGAAAAUACAUUAAUAAUUGGGUAAAUUUAAAAUGAUCCUAAAUAAAGAUUAAAAGUUUAAGUUACUUUAGGGAUAACAGCGUUAUUUUUUUUGAGAGUUCUUAUCGAAAAAAAAGUUUGCGACCUCGAUGUUGAAUUAAAAUUUCUUUAUAACAGCAGAAGUUAUAAAAGUUGGUCUGUUCGACCUUUAAAA
rnacentral:rRNA from 1 species